rnacentral:rRNA from 1 species
AUUGAACGCUGGCGGCAGGCUUAACACAUGCAAGUCGAGCGAGCGGCGGACGGGUGAGUAAUGUCUGGGAAACUGCCUGAUGGAGGGGGAUAACUACUGGAAACGGUAGCUAAUACCGCAUACCAUCAGAUGUGCCCAGAUGUGAUUAGCUAGUAGGUGGGGUAAUGGCUCACCUAGGCCACGAUCCCUAGCGGGUCUGAGAGGAUGACCAGACAGACGUGAACUGAGACACGGUCCAGAGUCCUACGUGAGGCAGCAGUGGGGAAGAUUGCACUAUUGGCGAAAGCCUGAUGCAGCCAUGCCGCGUGUGUGAAGAAGGCCUUCGGGUUGUAGAGCACUUUCAGCGAGGACGCGGUACGCGAAGAAGAAGCACCGGCUAACUCCGUGCCAGCAGCCGCGGUAAUUC